CUGCAGCCACCCCGUGGCCACCGUGGAAAACGGCAGGAACGGAAGCUGUCCCAGCGGGAGAGGGAGCCCAGCCGAGGAAGCCCAGAAUGGCCAAUGUGCUGCUGUGGCAGAAGUGAUCGAAGAGAUUAAAGAUGAGAGGAGGAGCGCCUGUGUGACACUAGCUGUAGAGGACUCACCUGCCUAGAAACCAAACUGGACAGCAGAAUCCUGGAUCUCCCCUAACGGUAGUGUUGGAGUGCUUGACUCCUUUCUCUGAGCGUGUGUACACCUGAGCACCACUAAGCCACGGGUUGUCCAGAAAGGAGCUCUGCCUGAGCCCAAGUUUUGCCACCAGGGAUGUUGAAGAUUUCCACGGGUCUACCUGCUUGUUCCUGCAUUGUUCGCUCUCCUCUCGUUGUGGGAUGCAGCCCUGGCCUUGACUGAAUGUGUUGCCACCUGGCCCCCACCCCCGCCAAACUCCUGUGUUGACAUCCUGAUUGCUGUGAGGGCGCAAGAAGAUGGCCUCUCACCAGGAGCCGCACCAGCCAGCACUUGGUCUUGGACUCCUCCAGAAUCAGGACAAAAACUUUCCCUUGUUCUAGCCACCAAGGCUACGGUACUUUCUUUAGAACAGCCCAAACGAGCACACGUCUCAUUGUAAGUAAUGUGAAGUGACCAGGUACACGGAGUGUCCAUAAACAGCAAGUUUUCAAGCCUUGUUUCUGACUUCAGAUAAUAAGCUUUUU